UUUAGUAGCUAACUUUUAGGCUGCCCUUAUGUAGUCUUGCUUGAAUUUAGAAAUUAAGCAGGGUAAUUAGGUCUGGUUAAUACUCGGAUGGGAGACCAACUAGGAAUACCAUGUGCUGCAGGCU
rnacentral:rRNA from 1 species